rnacentral:misc_RNA from 1 species
GCAAAAGGUUUGAGGACGUCCCGAGCCCGACCCCUCCGGGGGACGGUCGAAGGCGUCCCGACGAAGGGAAGUCGAAGCGGCGCACGGCCCUCGGUCCUCGCCGCUUUGCCUGUCCGCAAACCCUCUCCGCGUACCUCACCCUUGUUGCCUUCCCUGGUCUGAAUGGCCGGGGAAGAGACCGAAACCAAUCUUUGUGAACCGGUCGUCUGAAUCGGAGGGCCCGCGUGCCUUCCGAACGAUUAGAAAAAGUUU